UGGGGAAUCUUCCGCAAUGGACGAAAGUCUGACGGAGCAACGCCGCGUGAGUGAUGACGGUCUUCGGAUUGUAAAGCUCUGUUAAUCGGGACGAAUGGUUUAUGUGCAAAUAGUGCAUAGACAUGACGGUACCGGAAUAGAAAGCCACGGCUAACUACGUGCCAGCAGCCGUGGUAAUACGUAGGUGGCAAGCGUUGUCCGGAAUUAUUGGGCGUAAAGCGCGCGCAGGCGGACUAGCCAGUCAGUCUUAAAAGUUCGGGGCUUAACCCCGUGAUGGGAUUGAAACUACUAGUCUAGAGUAUCGGAGAGGAAAGUGGAAUUCCUAGUGUAGCGGUGAAAUGCGUAGAUAUUAGGAAGAACACCAGUGGCGAAGGCGACUUUCUGGACGAACACUGACGCUGAGGCGCGAAAGCCAGGGGAGCGAACGGG
rnacentral:rRNA from 1 species